GAUUCUUCGGAUGAAGAGUAUUGUGACUGAGCGGCGGACGGGUGAGUAACGCGUGGGUAACCUGCCUCAUACAGGGGGAUAACAGUUAGAAAUGACUGCUAAUACCGCAUAAGACCACAGCACCGCAUGGUGCAGGGGUAAAAACUCCGGUGGUAUGAGAUGGACCCGCGUCUGAUUAGCUAGUUGGUAAGGUAACGGCUUACCAAGGCGACGAUCAGUAGCCGACCUGAGAGGGUGACCGGCCACAUUGGGACUGAGACACGGCCCAAACUCCUACGGGAGGCAGCAGUGGGGAAUAUUGCACAAUGGGGGAAACCCUGAUGCAGCGACGCCGCGUGAGUGAAGAAGUAUUUCGGUAUGUAAAGCUCUAUCAGCAGGGAAGAAAAUGACGGUACCUGACUAAGAAGCACCGGCUAAAUACGUGCCAGCAGCCGCGGUAAUACGUAUGGUGCAAGCGUUAUCCGGAUUUACUGGGUGUAAAGGGAGCGUAGACGGAUGGGCAAGUCUGAUGUGAAAACCCGGGGCUCAACCCCGGGACUGCAUUGGAAACUGUUCAUCUAGAGUGCUGGAGAGGUAAGUGGAAUUCCUAGUGUAGCGGUGAAAUGCGUAGAUAUUAGGAGGAACACCAGUGGCGAAGGCGGCUUACUGGACAG
rnacentral:rRNA from 1 species